GUGACACCUGGGCACUGACGAGGGCGGGGAGUGAUCGCCGGUACAAGAAGCAUGGUGCAUGGGGCACGGACAAGGAGCGGCUCCUGGCAGGCUUCGAGUGGAAGGGGCACAUGGACGAAUCGAACAUACACCGGAAUGAGAGGGAUCUGGAGAUUGUAUAGGUAUGGGACUAUACAGUUGAAGGAUAGCUUAAAGGAAUUGAUUUGACUACUCAUAUCAACAAAUGCAUUUGCUUUUCGGUAGCCUAACUCAUAAGAACUCCAUGGUUAAGCGUGCUUAGCCUAGAGUAAUUAUGGGAUGGGUGACCUUCCGGGAAGUUUUCUCGGAAAGUGUGUGAGUGAAGA
rnacentral:lncRNA from 1 species